rnacentral:rRNA from 1 species
GACUAGCAUGCGAGUCGUGAGGGUUCGGCCCUCGGCAGACGGCUCAGUAACACGUGGAUAAUCUACCCUUAGGUGGAGGAUACCCUCGGGAAACUGAGAAUAAUACUCCAUGGAUCUAGACUGCUGGAAUGCUUUUAGAUCGAAAGAUUUAUCGCCUAAGGAUGAGUCUGCGGACUAUCAGGUUGUAGUCAGGGUAAUGACCUGACUAGCCUACGACGGAUACGGGUAGUGAGAGCUUUAGCCCGGAGAUGAUACCUGAGACACGAUAUCAGGCCCUACGGGGCGCAGCAGGCGCGAAAACUUCGCACUGUGCGAAAGCACGACGAGGGAAUCCCAAGUGCUGGCUCGUAAGAUCAGCUGUUUCUCUGUCUAAAAAACAGGGAGAGU